GACGAACGCUGGCGGCGUGCUUAACACAUGCAAGUCGAACGGAAAGGCCCUGCUUGCAUGGUACUCGGGUGGCGAACGGGUGAGUAACACGUGGGUGAUUUGCCCUGCACUUCGGGAUAAGCCUGGGAAACUGGGUCUAAUACCGGAUAGGAGCCAUUUCUAGCGGGAUGGUUGGAAAGUUUUUUCGGUGUAGGAUGAGCUCGCGGCCUAUCAGCUUGUUGGUGGGGUAAUGGCCUACCGAGGCGGCGAGGGGUAGCCGGCAUGAGAGGGUGGACGGGGACAAGAGGCCUGCGAGACGGAGCAGAGUCCUACGGGAGGCAGCAGUGGCGAGUCUUGCACAAUGGGCGCAAGCCUGAUGCAGCGGCGCCGCGUGGGGGAUGACGGCCUUCGGGUUGUAAACACCCUUCGCUAGAGACGAAGCUUUUGUGACGGUACCUAGAUAAGAAGCACCGGCUAACUACGUG
rnacentral:rRNA from 1 species